UUUUUUUUUUAAAGCCAUGUAUGGUGGCCCACUCCUGCAAGGUUACCUAAGACAGGACAGUCACUAAGUAGGAGGACAGUCUGGUUUAUAUGGUAAAUUGCAGGCCAGCCUGAACCACAGGGUCAGUUCCCAUCUCAACAAAACAAAACAGAAGGAAGUGGGGUGGAGAGGAGAGGAGAAAGGGAAUCCACUGCAGUAGACCACGUGUGUAAUCCUUGCACUUAGCAGGAAGAAGGUGAGACCCUGUAUAAGGGGGGGAAGUCAGGAAUGGUAGUGCUUUAAUAAUAGCACUUGAAGAGGCAGGGGGAUGGAUCUCUGUGAGUUCAAUGCCAGCCUGGUCUACACAGUAAGUUCCAGUUCAGCCAGGGAUAUAGAGUAAGAACCUGUCUCAAAACAGACAGACAGAGAGACAGGAUAAAAAAGAAACCAGGCAGAAACGAAGUAGUUAAACACUGUAGAUCAGAACCUGGUAAUGAUUCACGCCUUUAAUCCCAGUACUUGGGAGACAGAGGCAGGUGGGGCUGAAGCUUGAAAUCUUCUGAUUUUAUUCCCUCUCAGACUGAACCAGUCUCUCAGGGGGGUGUUCUGAAACCUAACCACGAAUAAAAUAUUGGAGUACUGAAAACAACGGCAUUUGCGUUUCCCCAAAGGAAAUGAUUCUAGAAAAUUCUAGAAAUCUGCAUGAACGUUGCCGAGGCAUUCCAUGAUGGCUUUGUUUAUUUGCUUAUUUAAUUAUUUGAUUUCUUGAGAUCCGGUCUGGUGUAGCUCAAGCAGGCUUAGAACUAGCUGUGUAUCUGAGGAUAACUUUGAAGUCCUGAUCCUCUCGCCUCCAUCUCCCGAGUUCUGAGCUUUGAGGCGUGCACCACUACAACUGGCUUCUUGUAAUAAUAUCUCAUUUCCCCCCAAUUUUAAAAAGAGACUUUCUGCAACCUUACAGUAGCCCAACCCCAAUAAGUCCCAGCCAAUGCUGAAGCAAGUGAUUCCAGGAAAGAACUUCUCUCCAUGCCCUUGAGAAAAUAUAAGCUUAAAAGAACCCAACGACCAAUUUAUCACAAAACUACGCUCAUCAAUUAAAAAAAAAAAAAAAAAAAACCAAAACAGAAACAGAAACAAAAAACUUAAAGACAGAGGCUCCUGUCACCCAAGGUAUCAAUGAAGUACACUGUGUACUGCGUCUGUCCCUAAGACCCAAGGGAAAGUGUCACAAAGCACAGAAAAGCCGGGAUCCAGAAAGGAUGAGGGAGGAGCAGGGGGUGGGUCAUGCACGGUGCCAGAGCCCGAGAUGCUGCUGAGCGCGCCUGCGGGCCGUGGGGAAGGGAUGGCUCGGGUGCUCCGCAGGGGCAUGGCUGGUCGGGCCGCACUCACAAAACGCUGGUAGAAGCGGACCAGCCGCGGUUUCCCAUGGUUGUUGAAAACCAGAAUCGCCUGGAUCAUCUUUGCCGGUCCCGCUUCCCUCGGCACCAGCUGCUCCAAGAACGCACUUUCUUCCGGCACAACA
rnacentral:lncRNA from 1 species